CUCAGCUUACAUGUAAGACUCCAUCGCAGCUUCCUUUCCGCAAAGCUUCAGAGAUGGACGCCAUCACAUCGAGGUGUGAUCAACAGUUUCUGGAUUUACAGGCUCUGCAAACAACGUGCCUCUGCUAAUUUUGAAGGUAGGACUUGCCCUAGUUAUUCGGAAAGAGGCCCUACACCAACUAAAUGAUGACAUUCGUCUCUCUUGAUGUUUUCGUAAAAAUAAAGAUUGAUGUUAA
rnacentral:lncRNA from 1 species